AGCUUGAAAAAACGGCCACUGCCGCCCGCAAUGUCUCGCUGUCUCGGUCGUGGGUUCGUUAUUCAGUUGUGUGUCAUUCUAAGCCGUUAUGUACAUUUAUACUGGAUAUUAACUGGAGUCAUUUAGCUGUGCAGAUGCUGUUUGCCCUGUGUUUUGCAUCCGUGCUUCGUGACAUCAGCUGUAUUGCGUGUUUUCGCCGACGGCUUACUACCACAAUGGCGGGAUCUGCGUUCGCCGCCUUCGUGUCUCGGUGCGUCUUUGUACGUCGCACGUUCGGAUAACACUUUUUCCGACGGCUGGACAUCCUUCUUGUACCUUGGCGCUAGCUGGAUGACGGGACCUCAUCAUGAUCAGUGUAUUGCUUGCCUAUGUCUACAAGAACCGUCACGCGUGGCCUGUGACAGCAAGCUUUUGUGGGCAGCAAGUGCUCUCCUACGAAGGCUGGCCUACUCUGGCAGCGGCGGCAAUCAUCUUCAAGAUUUAUCCAUGAUCACCUUUGCUGCUAUUUGUCACUCUUGUUAAUUGCACUUUCUGCAUCUUUUCUAAUUUAUUAGGUAAUAAAGUAUGAGUAUGUGACAUGGUGUGAA